rnacentral:rRNA from 1 species
UACAGAGGUCCCAAGCGUUGUUCGGAUUCACUGGGCGUAAAGGGCGCGUAGGCGGCUUGGCAAGUGGAUGGUGAAAUCCCUCGGCUUAACCGAGGAACUGCCGUCCAAACUGCUUCGCUUGAGACCGGGAGAGGUGAGUGGAAUUCCCAGUGUAGCGGUGAAAUGCGUAGAUAUUAGGAAGAACACCGGUGGCGAAGGCGGCCCACUGGAUCGGUACUGACGCUGAGGUGCGAAAGCGUGGGGAGCAAACAGG